UUACGAGGAUUGCUGCAGCUCUUUGGGCUCGCGGGGCCCGCCGUCUGCUGGCAGUCCCGGCGGUGGUGGUGGCUGUGGGGGCGUCAGUUCUUUGGGGAGCAGCGGAACGUGGCGAAGGGACAUGCGCCUGCUCAGAGUGGCAGCGCGCCCUGCUGGGCGGGAGGGACCCGGGGUGCGGGAGGCGAGGCCGCGCCCCGCCUGGCAGGGCCAGCGCCUUUUCCCCUGGGGCAGGGAGCGUCUUCCACCCGGGGAGCGAGGCCUUAGAAGGGGCGGAAAGUCCAAAUGGAGAGUCUGUUUUUUUCUUCUGUGAUGAAGGGACUUGGAUUGCUCUUCUUCCCCUACUCAACCCUGGAGUUUGACACGUUAAGUCGGGGAUGGAGGCUUCUUCUCAGAGACUAGGAAUCCUAUGUCCUGGCCGUUGGGAUCCUACAAGUGACCAACCCGUCGUGGACACAAAAAGAAACUGAAGCAGCAAAAUAACCACUUGCUGCCUCAGUUUUCUUUCUGUGUAAAAUGGAAGUACAGCAGCCUCUGGCCUCCCUAAUGGUCGUUCCCACAGCACUGGGAACACGUGAGAUAACCCAAGUGUGUACAUUUGCUAGGAGAAAGCUUAUACACAGACACUUGGUUAUUCUGAGGAAUGUGGUGGCCACUGGCCAUUUGACCAGGAAUCUUCAAGCCAGAGAACUUUUAACUAUUUUGCCUACCCCCUACAACCUUCCCUUCAUCUGAUCCUUUACCACACUGGAGCCGGUUUGGUGAUCUGAACUGUUGUCACUAAACUUGAUAAAAUGGGGAUCAAGAAAUAAUAGGACGAGUAUUCCUCAGGAACUUUGAAGGGAAGAGUACUGUGCACCCUUCAGGAUAUGUUUAUACAGGAGCUCGAGAGUUCACAUUUCUGUAAGUUCAUUUCAGGGGUGUGAUAUCCUUUCAUCCUGGUAGGAGGAGCCUUGAAAUCAGAAAGCAGGGCUUCUAAUCUUUGUUCUAUUCGUUAACUAGCUUCGUGUCCAAGGACAAGUCACCCAAACUUGGAACUUUGUUUUUCUUAUCUAAAAUGGGAGCUGAUAGUAUGUCUGCUGUUGGUUUUUCCAGCAUCAAAUGAGAUCACGAGUGUGCUUUCUAAGUGUGCUAUUGUUAUUAGGAGAUUUGCAUUUGGUCCCCUAGCCUGGAUGAAGUGUGAGUCAGAAAUCUCUAGAAAUAGAGCAGCAAAGAAGACGGUCUCCAGCCUAGCUGGGCUCAUGUUGCAGUGGGAAAUAGACAGUAAACAAUAAAUACAUAAUGUAAUUUCAGAUAGCCGUAAGGGCAGUGAAGGAAAGAGAAGGACAGCGGGGGAACAGGGAAGGUGGUUUUUGGUAGGAUCUGUCAGGAAAAGCCAUUCAAAGGCAGGGACACUUGAAUCAAUUGAAGUGUGAUGGAAGGAGCCUGAGAUAAGAACAUUUCAGAGAGGAAUAAUAAAAGCAAUGAACACGUUAAAAAAAAAAAGUAGCGCUUACCAUAUGUAAGGCAGUGUUCUGAACACUAAAUUUUUACAACAGUCUUACGAGACAACCUAGUAUCUCCAUUUUAUGAUGAAGCAACUGACACACAGAAAGGUUAAGAAUUUGCCAAAGGUUGCGCAGCUAAAACGUGGUAGAGACUAUUUGAAUGUGGGCAGCCUGACCUCAGAGUCCAGGCACCAGGCAACUGUAUUUUCGGCCUCACAGCAGAACACAGGACAAUGCUCUGAGGUGGAACCAAGCCUGAGGUGGUCCAGACACAGUGAGAGUGUUUAGAGCGCAGCAGGGCAGGGGGAAGUGGUGGCUGAUGAUGGUCAAGGGCCAGGCAAGUCAUGGGGUCUCUUGUAGGCUGUGGUGAAGUAAUGAUGUUCUUCUAAGUAUGAUGGAAAACCACUAGAAGAUUUGCAUCAAGGGAAUGGCCGUCUGAUUUAAGUUUGAUUGCAUGGAGAAUUAACUGUAGUUUAGAGUGGGUGGGGUGGAGUGAAAAUGGGGAGAGGAAGCCGCUGUGCCCUGUGGGUGAGAUGAUGGUGGUUCGAGCUGGGGGAGGUAGUUGUGGAGAUGGCGGUGGGCGGCAGCAUGGGUGGUGUGUAUCGAAGGUAGAGCUGACUGGACCAGCUGAUGUGGAAUGUGAGGAAAAGGGAGAAGUGAUGACUUAGGUUUAGGCUGGAACAGCUAGAUGUGCAGCGGUGCUGUCCACUGAGGACAGCUACAAAUUUAGUUUUGCACAAGUUCUAAAUGCCUGUUAGAAAUAGUCGUAACAAUAGUGCUAGUAAAAAUAGUAAGUACUAUGUCAGUGUAAACUGAGUCCCAGACAGAAUUUUAAGUACUUUUACCUGUAUUAAUUCAUUUAAUCAUUGUGAGAAUUAUAUAUACAAGGAACCAUUAUUGUCCCCAUUUUACACACGAGAAAAUAGGCACAAAGGUUGUAAGUGACUUGUCUGAAGUCACCCAGCUUGUGAGUCAUGUAGCUAGGAUUCAAACCUAAGCAGUAUGGCUUUGGAGUCCAUGCAUUGAAUCCCUCUAACCACCUCCAAGUGAGCAUGUUGAGUAUGCAUGCCUGUGAAUUCAAGGGAAUGAUCAGGGUUGGAGAUACCCAUUUAUUUUUCUUAAGAGAAAGCCUGCUUUUGUUCUUCAUCUAAGCUUUGGCUGACCGUGGGAGAAAGAUCAUACAUAGGCAGAGGGACUGUGCUAAUUGGCCUUUCAUUAUGUACCUGACGGGGUUCAUGCAGCCAGUAUCUGGUAUUCCCCUGCCUGUUCCCCCACUGUAGCUUCCAUGGGGCAAGGUCUGUUUCUUUAACUUCUCCAUCUCUAGUCCCUAAUCCAGUGCCUGCUGCGUAGUAGAUGUUAGGAAUGACUUUAUAUGCUGGGCAUUUGCUUAGGUUUUGGAAGUUCAGAGAUGAAUAAAACAUAGUUCUUUCCCUAGAGGAGCAGAGUAUGAGGGAAAACCUUGGGAAUAAGAUUAGACUAAAUGCAUAAAUACAUGCUGAUUAGUUCAUUCUGGUUUACUGCCCCCUCUCCUCCCUGGCUUCCAUGACUUGUGAGAUGGGGGCAUGAAAAGGGCAAAGGGGCAAAAGAAUGCCUAAGCAGUUGCAGGAUGAAGCUGAGGCUCCCCGGGAGUCCUUUUCAGCAAAAGAAUUACUCAAAAUCAUGCAUAUUUUACUUUAUUUGCAUAGUUUUAUUUGGCAAUGAUAAGAUUUUUACCAAAUGAAGUAAAUUCCGAUAUUUGACUAUCCUUGUGGAGUGAUGAGUUUUUCCAGUUCUAUUACCUUAGUGUUGACAGGACUCACCAGUGAAAUAAGAGAGUUGCUUGAAAUGUUGCAGUUUGCAUAAUAGAGGAUGAUAGAGGCGCUAGGUGAAGUAUUCAAGCAGGUUUCCACCAGUUUAAGUGUAUCAUGCCAAAGUUCCACAUGUUGGAAUAAGUUUGCGUUUCUCUGCUGAACCUCGCUUUAACGUUGACAUGUAUUUUUUUUUGUCAUGAAAGGGGAUCUGGUGAUAUGUGUCAUGGGUGGAAUUGCAGGUUACAUCUCGUGUAGCUGGAACACUGUAGAGAACGUGGAGACUAGAACAAUAGAAACAAAAAAAGAUGUGUCUUGUUCCUGUAGAUCUCUUUCACAGCAUACCAUAACCUCAAUAGCUGUCACAAUUUUAUUACUUUCUAACAUGAGUAUUUCAAAUUUAAAUCACUUAAAGAUUAUAUAAAAUUGCACUGUUGUAGAUUUUGUGGUUAAUUUCAGAAUUUUUUUCUUAAAACAUAAAAUUAUAUUUUGUUUUAAGCUUUCAUUGGGAAAGUACAUUACUCUAAACAGGAACCCUCUAUUAACAUAAAUGUAGAGGGGUGUCAUCUCAUUUUGCAGUUCACAACAUUUUAAAUCUGCUCUAGUAGCUUCUUUAAAUUUAAUGGGGUUGAAAUGAUUAGCAUUUAUUUACACCACAUUUGCAGUAAGUUUCCCAGGAACAUCAGAUACCCAUAUAUGGUAUAAAGUAAAAUUGCGUAUUAAAAUAGCCUGUUGAGGCUCAGGCAUUAUUGACUUUUAAGUUCAGGCUCAGUGAGGGCAGUUGGAUGGUCAUUUAAUUGUGUCAGGUAACUCCCAGCAGAGGGGGAGUGAUGCUAAGUUCUAUUUGAAAACAACAGAAGCCAUUGUUUUUAACACUGACCAUAUAAAAUGCAACAUCCUAGAUAGUAAAUAAAAUUCAGAUUCCUUUUAAAAUUUACAUUUGCACAAGCAAAUUUUAAACUUUUGAGUACAUAUAUAUAUAUGAAGAUUGUUUAUUGUGGAAAACAGUGUGUCUAACCCAGUGAUAGUACAUAUUGAGCAUUUAAAUGUAAUUCCUAAUAGACUGCUUCUUGCAGUCACUUUUAUUUUGCGUAUUAUCUUCAACUCUAGCUAUUUGUAGUAAUAGCUGGAUGCUUGUUUAUAUACUUUACACUGUAAAUGUUUGCAUAUAUUUAAAUAAUUUAUAUAAAUAGCACUUAUUUUUGCUUCAUUUCACAUUUAGUUGCUUAGACAUUAAAAUCUUUAGAUUUGAUUCCGCCUCCACUGACAUAACACUAAUGGCUAAUAAUUAGUAAGUCUAGGUGGAACUAAGCUUUAGUGAAAGGUUAACUAAAUUAUAACCCCAAAAGAACACCCAGAAAAAAAUUUGUAGGGAAUAUUAAGCAAAACCAGUAUGUCCAUGAAAGGAAUAAUUUAACCAUAACUAUGUAGCUAAUCAUUCUUCAAGUUGUUACCAUUCUACAGGGAGUAUUUGCUUAUUUGGUUCUUAAAUUGCAAAGCUGUUAGUUUCAAGCUGCAUUGCAAGCCACCAAUCAGUGUGUGAUAAAUAUUGGAAGGCGAUACUAGGGGUUUAGCCCAGUACAUCUCAACUCAGAAUGAUUUUGUCCUUUCCAGCACACCCUGGGGACAUUUGUCAAGAAGACAUUUUUGGUUGCCACAUUUGUGUUUGAGGGCAUCACUCCCAGCAUCUAGUGGAUUGAGGCCAUUAUAGCAUGCUGUUGAAUGUCCUGCAAUGUACAGGACAACUUGUCAACAACAGAAACUUAUCCAGUUGAAAAUGUCAGUGCUCCUAAUGUUGAGAAAUCCUGUAGUAUCUUUUCUCCCUUCCUUCCUUCUGUUCUUCUUCUUCUUCUUCUUUUUUUUUUAAAUGCUUUAGAAAUGGAGGUGGUGCUUUAAGUGGCAAAUGCGUGACUUGGACAAAGGAUCGUGUUGUACUGCUUUUAGUUUGUUGGAUAGCUGAGCUAUUUGGUUCAUUUACUAAAUGGAAAAUAAUUCUUGAACUCAAUAGUAGCCUUGAAUUGUUUUUGGUUGCUAGCGUGUCUGGUGUUUUUGUGUUUGUUUUUAGCUAUGAAUAUUUUUCUUACUAAAUUUAAUCUGGACAUUAUAUCAUCCUGGAUUGUAACAGGUUUCCUAGUGUGAAUUCCCUUCAUUGUUGUAUAUAUUAAAUUAGCUGUCUCACAGUUUCAUGGUUUAUAUCUAUCAAAAUCCUUUUCACAUUAAUUUUCAAUUUUGUUACAAACAGCCCAUUAAAUGUAUAGGGCAGGCAUUAUCCUCACUAUUAGACCAGUGAAGAAACAGACUUAGGUCAAGUGACUUUCCAUAU